UACGAAGGGGGCUAGCGUUGUUCGGAAUUACUGGGCGUAAAGCGCGCGCAGGCGGCUUUUCAAGUCAGGGGUGAAAGCCCGGAGCUCAACUCCGGAACUGCCUUUGAAACUGUGAAGCUUGAGUACGGGAGAGGUGAGUGGAAUUCCCAGUGUAGAGGUGAAAUGCGUAGAUAUCGGGAGGAACACCGGUGGCGAAGGCGGAUCUCGUGGGCCUUACCUGACGCUCAGGUGCGAAAGCUAGGGGAGCGAACAGG
rnacentral:rRNA from 1 species